AGACCCGAAACCCGGUGAUCUAGCCAUGGGCAGGUUGAAGGUUGGGUAACACUAACUGGAGGACCGAACCGACUAAUGUUGAAAAAUUAGCGGAUGACCUGUGGCUGGGGGUGAAAGGCCAAUCAAACCGGGAGAUAGCUGGUUCUCCCCGAAAGCUAUUUAGGUAGCGCCUCGUGAAUUCAUCUCCGGGGGUAGAGCACUGUUUCGGCUAGGGGGCCAUCCCGGCUUACCAACCCGAUGCAAACUGCGAAUACCGGAGAAUGUUAUCACGGGAGACACACGGCGGGUGCUAACGUCCGUCGUGAAGAGGGAAACAACCCAGACCGCCAGCUAAGGUCCCAAAGUCAUGGUUAAGUGGGAAACGAUGUGGGAAGGCCCAGACAGCCAGGAUGUUGGCUUAGAAGCAGCCAUCAUUUAAAGAAAGCGUAAUAGCUCACUGGUCGAGUCGGCCUGCGCGGAAGAUGUAACGGGGCUAAACCAUGCACCGAAGCUGCGGCAGCGACGCUUAUGCGUUGUUGGGUAGGGGAGCGUUCUGUAAGCCUG
rnacentral:rRNA from 13 species